rnacentral:pre_miRNA from 1 species
CUACUACUCCCUUCGUCUGAAAAUACUUGUCAUUGAAAUGGAUGUAUCUAGAUGUAUUUUAGUUCUAGACACAUCCAUUUUGAUGACAAGUAAUUCUGGAUGGAGGGAGUAUUAU